rnacentral:rRNA from 1 species
GAUGAACGCUGGCGGCGUGCCUAACACAUGCAAGUCGAACGGAGUCCAGCCUUUGAGACCUUCGGGUCAAAGAGGGGAAGACUGAGUGGCGGACGGGUGAGUAACACGUGGGCAACCUGGCUCAUAGAGGGGGAUAACAGAGAGAAAUUUCUGCUAAUACCGCAUAAGCACACACUGCCGCAUGGCAGAGGGUGAAAAGAGAAUCGCUAUGAGAUGGACCCGCGUCUGAUUAGCCAGUUGGCAGGGUAAGAGCCUACCAAAGCGACGAUCAGUAGCCGAUCUGAGAGGAUGAACGGCCACAUUGGGACUGAGACACGGCCCAAACUCCUACGGGAGGCAGCAGUGGGGGAUAUUGCACAAUGGGGGGAACCCUGAUGCAGCGACGCCGCGUGAGUGAAGAAGUAUUUCGGUAUGUAAAGCUCUAUCAGCAGGGAAGAUAAUGACAGUACCUGAAUAAGAAGCCCCGGCUAACUACGUG